UACAGAGGGUGCGAGCGUUGUCCGGAAUCACUGGGCGUAAAGGGCGCGUAGGCGGCCUGAUAAGUAGGGGGUGAAAUCCUGUGGCUUAACUGCAGGGCUGCCUCCUAGACUGUUAGGCUCGAGCACGGUAGAGGCAGGUGGAAUUCCCGGUGUAGCGGUGGAAUGCGUAGAGAUCGGGAAGAACAUCGGUGGCGAAGGCGGUCUGCUGGGCCGUUGCUGACGCUGAGGCGCGACAGCGUGGGGAGCAAACAGG
rnacentral:rRNA from 1 species